rnacentral:rRNA from 1 species
GACGAACGCUGGCGGCGUGCUUAACACAUGCAAGUCGAACGGAAAGGCCCUGCUUUUGUGGGGUGCUCGAGUGGCGAACGGGUGAGUAACACGUGAGUAACCUGCCCUUGACUUUGGGAUAACUUCAGGAAACUGGGGCUAAUACCGGAUAGGAGCUCCUGCUGCAUGGUGGGGGUUGGAAAGUUUCGGCGGUUGGGGAUGGACUCGCGGCUUAUCAGCUUGUUGGUGGGGUAGUGGCUUACCAAGGCUUUGACGGGUAGCCGGCCUGGGAGGGUGACCGGCCACAUUGGGACUGAGAUACGGCCCAGACUCCUACGGGAGGCAGCAGUGGGGAAUAUUGCACAAUGGGCGGAAGCCUGAUGCAGCGACGCCGCGUGCGGGAUGACGGCCUUCGGGUUGUAAACCGCUUUCGCCUGUGACGAAGCGUGAGUGACGGUAAUGGGUAAAGAAGCACCGGCUAACUACGUG